rnacentral:lncRNA from 1 species
GGGCUGCGGUCGGGGCGGUCCCGGGCCCAGGCGCCUGCCGCGGGACGCGCUUCCGCGAAGUCUGGCUCACGGGUUCCCGGAACGGUGCGUGGGAGGCUGAAGAGUGUGGCGGGUUUCGCUUUUUGCCCUACGUUUGCUUUCGUCGGUCCCCGAGGCCCGGGGUGCGACCUCUCCUCUGGGCUUAGUAGACAGACCUGGGCUGGAAGAACGGGCUGCGCGCGGGUGGCUGCGGGCGGGUUUGCGUUUCUUUUAUGCCUCCUUCGGGAACUAUUUUCAAUCCCCCCAAAGCAAAGCCGCUGACCUUGGGGGGCGCAUGGAGAGGUUAAGUGCUUUUGCGGGGGGUAACCCUGACAGUGAGUGGGAGGCUUCUGGUGAUGGGGUAGUCUGGCCUGGCAUGGGGUAGAGGAAAAGCGGGCGUUCCAGUUGGCUCAGGUGCCAGCCCCAGCUCUGCCGUUUGCUGGCCAUGGCUGGUUAGAAUACCAUAGCUGGGACCUUCAGUUUCUCCAAAAUAGGCUGUACCAGCCCGGGGACUCAAAGGGGCAAGUUGUACAGGGUACACGGAAUGGUGAUUUCCCAGCCAAAGGUUAUGACCACCCGUGACCUAUCUAUUGGGGGAAGGGAGAUGAGCCAGCAUGUUCCUUCCUAAAUCACAGGCCCUGUGCAAGAUGCUCAGAGGCCCAUCUGAAGAGGAACCUUGGUAGUCUGGGGCUUUCCCGGACCUUAGGCAGCAGAGAGUCAAGAGUCGUGAGUCGCUGUCUCAGUGGCCCUGAAUAUGUUCUUUCACAGGAAAGCACAGCACUUAGGGUCAUAAGCAAAUAAAUGCAAAUAGCUUUAGUUUGCCAAACUGUAAAGUGGGGAUAAUUAGAUGUUCCUUCACUGA